CUGCUGCCUCCCGUAGGAGUUUGGGCCGUGUCUCAGUCCCAAUGUGGCCGUCCGCCCUCUCAGGCCGGCUACUGAUCGUCGCCUUGGUGGGCCGUUACCCCGCCAACCAGCUAAUCAGACGCGGGUCCAUCCCGUACCACCGGAGUUUUCAAGAAAGAAACAUGCGUCCCCUUCUGUUAUGCGGUAUUAGCACCUGUUUCCAGGUGUUAUCCCCCGGUACGGGGCAGGUUCCCCACGCGUUACUCACCCGUCCGCCACUAAGGCCCGCGCCUUCCGGGUCUGGUAAA
rnacentral:rRNA from 1 species